rnacentral:ribozyme from 1 species
ACAAGUAGUAAAUAUUCUCGAGAACAUUAUCAUUUCUCGCAACCUUACGGAGAUUCCUCUUCAGAGGAUAGUGAAGGCAGAAAAUCAUUGUCUCAUUAUGAAGGUGGUGAUGCAUUCGGUGUGUCUAUGGAUUCAAUAUCAAUGUUUGGUAAAAUGUUAGCAGUGGGGCUCCUAGUCUUCAUGAAUCGAAGUCAUUCGUCGAAUUAACUGUUUUAAAGACGUGUCCCCUGUUAAAAGAAGGA